GGAACGCGCAUGUCUUUCCAUCUCCCUUUCGCCCUUCACCCUGCCCUGACCUCCGUACAUCUCACUCUCGCCCUUCACCCUGCCCUGACCUCCACAAGCUCGUCGUGGACAUUCCCCAACCUGUGCUCCGUCCCGUCUUCGGCGAAGGGUAGGAUUUUUGUGAGAAUGGAAACACCAAACCCUAAUAUUGUUGUCGCUCCAAGAGUGGUGGGAUUCGGAAAGAAGCGUGGACCAAACUCUAUGUGUAGUGCUGAGAUUCUAUUUUGCUCAUCUCUUACACUAGCAACACAUUCCCCAAGGCUGUUAUGAUUCGUCUAUCGAACAUGAGAAAUGAGAUUGUGUCAAGACAGGUCUCUAGAUUAGAAGAUGUUCCACAUCAUCUGAUGAUGUCUCCAUCAAUGUCAUUGAAACAUGAUCCUAAUCCUUCUGGGGAGCUGCUACUAAUGCAGAAACUAGAGGAAGUUGGAAGCUCUGUCAAGAGAAUUCAAUCUUUAUUUGAGGAGCAACAAUCUCAAAUAAGAGUCCAUAGAUUGAGGUUUGUGAAUUUUAUGUAAAAAUAAAAUCCCUAUAGAUGGUUUUU